rnacentral:rRNA from 1 species
UGCCAGCCGCCGCGGUAAUACGGGGGAUGCAAGCGUUAUCCGGAAUCCUUGGGUUUAAAGGGUCCGCAGGCGGACUUAUAAGUCAGUGGUGAAAGCCUACAGCUUAACUGUAGAACUGCCAUUGAAACUGUAAGUCUUGAAUUCGGUCGAAGUGGGCGGAAUAUGUCAUGUAGCGGUGAAAUGCUUAGAUAUGACAUAGAACACCGAUAGCGAAGGCAGCUCACUAGACCUGGAUUGACGCUCAGGGACGAAAGCGUGGGGAGCGAACAGGAUUAGAUA